UACGUAGGGGGCAAGCGUUGUCCGGAUUUAUUGGGCGUAAAGAGCGUGUAGGCGGCCAUGCAGGUCCGUUGUGAAAACUCGAGGCUCAACCUCGAGACGCCGGUGGAAACCGUAUGGCUAGAGUCCGGAAGAGGAGAGUGGAAUUCCUGGUGUAGCGGUGAAAUGCGCAGAUAUCAGGAAGAACACCCGUGGCGAAGGCGGCUCGCUGGGACGUGACUGACGCUGAGACGCGAAAGCGUGGGGAGCAAACAGG
rnacentral:rRNA from 1 species